UAGAGGUCACAUUCCCUAUGAAGUCC
rnacentral:piRNA from 1 species